UCCCUGGUGGCUUAGAGGGUUAAAGCAUCUGCCCGCAAUACAGGAAACCCGGGUUCGAUCCCUGGGUCGGGAA
rnacentral:tRNA from 1 species